GUCUACAAAAUUGGUGGUGCUGAUGCUGUCCCUGUGGGCUGAGUGGAGACUGGUCUCAAACUGAACCUGGUAGUCACCUUUGCUCCAGUCAACAUUACAACUGAAGUAAAGUCUGCUGGAAUGCACCAUAAAGCUUUGAGUGAAGUUCUUCCUGGGGACCACGUGGGCUUCAAUGUCAAGAACAUGUCUGUAAAAGAUGUUUGUUGUGGCAAUGUGGCUAUUGAUGUCAAAAAUGACCCACUAGUGGAAGCAGCUGGCUUCACUGCUCAGGUCAUUUUGUGAUAUGAGACAGACAGCGGCUGUGAGUGUCAUCAAGGCAGUGGACAAGACGGUUACUGGAGCUGGCAAGAUCACAAAGUCUGCCCAGAAAGCUCAGAAGGCUAAAUGGAUAUGAUCCAUAACACCUGCCAUCACAGUCUUAAUCAGAGGGGGAAGAACUGUCUCAGAACUGUUUGUCUCCACUGGUUUAAUAAUUGCCUGAUGCAUCACUUUGCACACAAGAUGCCCUAAAUAAGUACUGCUUCAUCAAUGUGAUGUUGCAGCGACACAUCUACCCCACUCAUCCCAGCCUCAAGGAGAGACGCACAGUUUAUGACUAUAUGGUUUACCAAGGUUUAUCAGAAUAACAGGCCAACAGAUAAAACUGCUAAGAUGACUAAAUGGUACUCUGGUUACGUCUAGCAUCAUAACUGCCGGGUAGGUGUACCGAAGUCUUCUGACUGAUUCACAGGAACCCUAAGGUAUUUGGGAGAAUAAUUUGCCCAAACACAUAGUUGUUACUAUUGGAAGUCACUAGAAUGUUAAGUGUUUCUCACUGUAUCAUACUGGAAAUCAAUCUUUUCAACAUACAAACCAUGAUUUCUGUAUGUAAGAAGUCCGCCUGUAUUGGUUAAAGGUCUAGUUUUUUCCACAACAUGUAUUUUUUCCUCUCCCUCCUUCCUACCCUCUCCUUAUCUUUCUGUGCAUUCUAAAGAAGAAGAAAGGAGUCAUUAGUUCAUCAAGUCAAGGAAAAUGAGAGCCAUCACUGAACAGUCAGUGAACUAGUUCAAUGACACUUUUAAAUGGAAAGCUUUCCCAGGACAGGUGGUGGAUGGUCUGGACAGAUCCUCCAGGCAAUCUAAGUAAGAGCAUCCCCAAGCCAGGAAAAAAGUUCUUACUUCCCUCCUCCUAGGCUCUUUUCACCUUCCUCUACUUCUCUCAGGCAGCAAUCAUUCUCCAAUCCCACCACAUUCUGAAUCAGCAUCCCAGAAUUACCCAAAACAUGACUGAUCAUGAGCCCUCCCCAGAAGCACAAAGUAGACGCUCCAUAAACUUCCCCUUGAACUUGAUUCAAACUCAAAUUCUCAGUUCAACUUGUGGUUAGUCAGCUAACGAGGUGCAAUAAGAGGUAGCGAGGAACUGGGUCUGGCCCAGGCUCCUGGGAAAGCCCCUGCUGUCAUCUGGGUUCUACCCUACCCCAAACAGGCCUCAUGUUGGGAAGAGGCACUUUUACUCCCUCCAGAAAGAGAAGGAACUAUACUGUGCCAGUGUGAAUAUAUUGUGUCCCCCAAAUGCCAUUAUCUUUGAUGUAAUCUUGUGUAGGCAGACAUUAUCAGUGUUGAUUAGAUUUC